CUGCCACCCUGCAGGCCGGGAAGUUGGCAGGUGUGGCGGGUGGGGUGAGGGGUCCGAGUCCCAUGGCCUAGGACGUUCAUUUCUCCGAGGCUCGGUCUCUCCUCUGGUGGGACCAUGUCUCGAAGAGCCCCUGGCUUGGCUUCUGGAGCUGGCGGCCAGAGCCACCAGGAAGAUCAAGGAGCCAGGGCCACCCUCACGUUGCCUAGGCAACAGCAUCCGUGAUCAGACUGUAAGGCAACUGGGACCCAUGCGUGCUCCCCGGGGGAGGCUGCAGGUUCACGUCGGUGUCCGGUGAUAAAGAAGACACGGAUACAGCAAGAAGGAAGGAGGCCCUGUGCACGACACUAAGAUGAGUGACGCCACAGCACGGACCUUUGCUCAAGAUCCGUCAGCAGGAAAUACCCCCCAAGUGCCGAGAGUGCUGGCAUGCAGCAGAGAAGGCUCGACUGGG
rnacentral:lncRNA from 1 species